AUGAACACCCCCCCCCCCCGCCGGUUUCAUUGUUGCAGGCCCACCACCAUAACUUCUCUUGUAGCAUUUUAUCUUCAAAGUGUUACAGGGACCAAAUGUUUCUCUGAGGACAGUUUGUGUGCAGAGUUAUGAACAUAUACGGGCGGCAGUAGCUCAGUCUGUAGGGACUUGUGUUGGGAACCGGAGGGUCGCCGGUUCCAGUCCCAGUGCAGACCAAAUAUGGAAGUUGGUCUGGUAGCUGGAGAGGUGCCUGAGCACUGCCCUUGAGCAAGGCACCAAACCCCCACAGGAGCGCCCGCUCCGUCACUCUGACAUCUCUCCAUCAGUGCAUGUCCAUAGGAUCCUGUUUGUUCAUGUGUGUAUAUUUCAGCCUAUGUGUGUGUUGCAUGGUUAACAGAGUGUGGAACAGCCUUCCUCCCUCAGUCAGGUCUGCCCCCCUCUGUGGAAUCUUUUAAGUCCCGCCUCAAAACACACUUUUACACGUUGGCCUUUGAGCCCUAGUUAGGUUGCUUAUACUUCUUUCAAAUGUACUUCUUUCAAAUGUCUUAUAAUAUUAUUGUCCAAUUAUAUUGUUCGUAUUCUGUGUGCAUGUGUGUAGGCUAAUAUUUAUGUGUGAGUUUUGCCUUGUUAUUUUUAUUUUUGUUUUUUAAUCUCUGUUGCUGUUUUUAAAUGUGCUUUAUAAAUAAAUGUGAUUGAUUGAUUGAUUGAU